CCUUUGGGCAGCAGUCAGAGCUCGGGGCUGCCAGUUCCUUGGACCAGCGAUGCAGGAGGAAGCUCUGAAGCUGGUCUUGCUGGCCUUGGAAGAUGGUUCUGCAUUAUCACGGAAAGUGUUGGUUCUCUUUGUGGUACAAAGACUGGAGCCACGUUUUCCUCAAGCCUCUAAAACCAGCAUUGGACAUGUUGUUCAGCUCCUCUACAGAGCCUCCUGCUUCAAGGUAUGAACCUAAACAUUAAACUUGGACCUUAGUAAAAUUGCCUGUACUUUUCAGAAAAUAUAAUGCUCUAGUUAAAUCCUGGGUUUGUCUUGUUCAGUUUUGUUUUAGACCUCUCUGUUUACAAC
rnacentral:lncRNA from 1 species